rnacentral:rRNA from 1 species
UCAGAAUUCCGUGAAUCAUCGAGUCUUUGAACGCAAAUUGCGCCCUCGGUUUGAAGCCGGGGGCACGUCUGUCUGAGCG